rnacentral:tRNA from 1 species
GCCCAGUUAGCUCAGUUGGUAGAGCAGCGGAUUGAAAAUCCGCGUGUCCGUGGUUCGAAUCCGCGACUGGGCA